GUUUAACCUGCAGGGCCAUAGUCCAAAGGGAGCAGGCGAGCUUCCAGGCUUCUCCAGUUCACAGUGGCGAGGUUGGUUUCGCCACAAUCACCUUAUGAGAUUCUGUUUGGCACAGCACCCAGACUAGGUUGUUACUUUCCUCAACAACUUCAGAUCCAGUCAGAUGCCAUGGUAGACUAUGUGACUGCCCUCUCACAUGCCUUGACCAAAAUACAUGCCCAAGUGUUUUCUUCUAUUCCAG